AACACAUGAUAAGGGCACCGUCUCAAUAGAUCAUUGUAUUUCUCCCAUGCAUCAUAUAAAGUUUCUAGAUCGAUCUGAACAAAAGAAGAGAUGUCAUUCCUCAACUU
rfam:Gossypium hirsutum cultivar TM-1 chromosome 9, whole genome shotgun sequence